rnacentral:tRNA from 1 species
UGCCUGAUGGUCAAGUGGUAUGACGGAGGUCUUUGGAACCUUAAUCCCUGGUUCGAACCCAGGUCGGGCAG